rnacentral:misc_RNA from 1 species
GAUAAGAACGCAGCAAAAUGCGAUAAGUAAUGUGAAUUGCAGAAUUCAGUGAAUCAUCGAAUCUUUGAACGCACAUUGCGCCCGCUGGUAUUCCGGCGGGCAUGCCUGUUCGAGCGUCAUUUCAACCCUCAAGCCCCCGGGUUUGGUGUUGGGGAUCGGCUCUGCCCUUCUGGGCGGUGCCGCCCCCGAAAUACAUUGGCGGUCUCGCUGCAGCCUCCAUUGCGUAGUAGCUAACACCUCGCAACUGGAACGCGGCGCGGCCAUGCCGUAAAACCCCAACUUCUGAAUGUUGACCUCGGAUCAGGUAGGAAUACCCGCUGAACUUAAGCAUAUCAAUAAGCGGAGGA